UACGUAGGGGGCAAGCGUUGUCCGGAUUUAUUGGGCGUAAAGAGCUACGUAGGUGGUUCGGUAAGUCGGAUGUGAAAUCUCCAGGCCUCAACCGUGGAGGGGUCAUUCGAUGACUGCCGUGACUAGAGGUCGGUAGGGGAGUGUGGAAUUCCUGGUGGAGCGGUGAAAUGCGCAGAUAUCAGGAGGAACACCCGUAGCGAAGGCGGCACUUCGUGGGCCGAUACUGACACUGAGGAGCGAAAGCGUGGGGAGCGAACAGG
rnacentral:rRNA from 1 species